UUAUUCAGAAAGAAACCUCCCAGCAUAAACCUGUAUAGGGAGAUUCGAACACGGGGAAUGAUUAGUUACUUAAGCGUUCACGUUAGGGUCAUACAAUCAAUUACCUCCUGAAUGUAUCGUCUCUAUUUUCAAUAUUUGAACACACAAGGAAACUAUAAUCUCUUCCUUCACCUUAUCGGUCUCUUUCUUACAACAAUUCGAUCAUACCAAUAACUGCUAUUUCCACCAAUAUAUUCACCCUCAUAAUCUCCAACUGUAAUAUUUGCGCCCUCACAGCUUUCAUCACAUAAUUACCCUCGUUCCAAUCACUGGAAUUCUUCACACAGAAUUGCCAUUCACAUUACAGUGUUUCACUCAAACACACACUCAUUCUCUCUACUGAACUACAAUCAGAUUUCAGCAUUCAAUCUUUCUUCUUCUCAAAUAAUACCAAUCACAUUUCCAUUCCAUAAUUCACUUCACAAUAUUUAGAAACUUUCAAUCCUCUUAUUCAAAAAAAAUAACAAACAAAAGAAAAGAGGUAGCACCAAGCUUACCCCGGCUCACAACUCUCAUAGUCUGGCAUUUUCUUCCCCUCUUCCAUCUUCCUUAUACUACCCCGAGAUACCAACUCCUAUACUACAUAUGAUAACUACUUUUCCUGACUAUUCAUCUAUUCUACCUGCUGAACCAUCUUUUUAGUAGUUAUCUAUCCCUGUUUAUACUAUACACUAGGUAUCUACAUUCUAAAAAUAACUACUUAUUCUACAGGUCCUCAAGAUUCUUUGAUAAAUUGGAUGGAAUGUAUCCAAGCCAUUCUUAUCAAGAGUCAGCAAAAGGAAAAAGGACCAAUUCAACAUUUGGGUGAGCUUGAUAUGAUGGACCAAUUUGAUCUAAUUAUGGAGACAUCCAAUCUAAGUCUUGUUAUGGGCCUCUUAUCCAAUAUGAGACCUGACUCGAUUAAGCAACCGAAUGAGGUCUUGAUUACGGAGGCUUCGUUUUUGUUCCAAGAAGUUUCAUUCUUUA
rnacentral:lncRNA from 1 species